UCAUUAUUUAUACAAUUACAAUCUGUACCUUUUUGCCCCUUUUUAUAUUUGUUGUAGGUCUAUUAGGUUUACAUGAGUUUAUUUACUGGAAAUGAUGUACUCGACGGAUUGAAUUUUAUUGUUUUUGGGACUAUUUAAGUAUUAGCUAGACAAUUUAUCAAGAGAAUAUUUCAUUUCUGGUUUUAAUUUGAUAUGUCAGUGAGUGUCGUAAAAACUGUUUGCAGAUGAUUAUGAAUGGUUUUGGUUUGUAAUGAGGGUCACAUAUGAUUUCUGUGGACAACAUUUGCAUGUCUAUUAGAUAUAAAAUUGAAUGAUUAGGGUGGUGUGUUUAUUUUUAUAUUUAUGUUAUGAUUUCUGUUUUAUCCUUUGAAAUUCAUUGUAGCUGUCGUCUAUUGAGAUUGUGUGUGGGUAGGGGAAAAGCAAAAUGAACAAAUGGAGGGAGUUGGGUUUGAUUUCUUUAGUUUAAAGAACAUACAUUUACUUUGGCUGAUUAGAUUAAUUAAUAGGAGGAUUAAGACUGUUUUGAGCAUGAAUUUGUAAUACCCAUAAAUCAGGUAAAAUUUUAAUAAACUAAGAUUUGAUUGAGG
rnacentral:misc_RNA from 1 species